CCAUGCAUUUGAGGACGCGAUCAAUGCCUACUUGGAAUACUGCGAGGGGCGCUGUUAGCGCUUGAUCGAGGCUGCCAUGGGCACUGUCCGCGCCGCCUCCCCGUCUCUGUCGCCAAACCCCCAUCGUUGCCGAGGACUCGUCAUGUGCCUCUGCCCGAGGCCAGCCCGAUGUCUUGCGGUCACCGCCAAAAAGAAAGAGACGCAAGCCGCUGGGACGAUGCUGUGUGCACAAACGACAAACUACACAAACGGCAUGCUGGUCAUUUUCUCGGCAAUGUUUCCA
rnacentral:lncRNA from 1 species